rnacentral:misc_RNA from 1 species
GAAAUGCGAUAAGUAAUGUGAAUUGCAGAAUUCAGUGAAUCAUCGAAUCUUUGAACGCACAUUGCGCCCGUUAGCAUUCUGGCGGGCAUGCCUGUUCGAGCGUCAUUACAACCCUCAGGCCCCCGGGCCUGGCGUUGGGGAUCGGCGAGGCGCCCCCCGCGGGCACGCGCCGUCCCCCAAAUACAGUGGCGGUCCCGCCGCAGCUUCCAUUGCGUAGUAGCUAACACCUCGCAACUGGAGAGCGGCGCGGCCAUGCCGUAAAACACCCAACUUCUGAAUGUUGACCUCGAAUCAGGUAGGAAUACCCGCUGAACUUAA